GACGUAGGGCGCGAGCGUUGUCCGGAUUUAUUGGGCGUAAAGAGCUCGUAGGCGGUUUGUCGCGUCUGUCGUGAAAGUCCGGGGCUCAACUCCGGAUCUGCGGUGGGUACGGGCAGACUAGAGUGAUGUAGGGGAGACUGGAAUUCCUGGUGUAGCGGUGAAAUGCGCAGAUAUCAGGAGGAACACCGAUGGCGAAGGCAGGUCUCUGGGCAUUAACUGACGCUGAGGAGCGAAAGCAUGGGGAGCGAACAGG
rnacentral:rRNA from 1 species